UGGGGAAUAUUGCACAAUGGGCGGAAGCCUGAUGCAGCAACGCCGCGUGAGUGAUGAAGGCCUUCGGGUUGUAAAGCUCUGUCUUUUGGGACGAUAAUGACGGUACCAAAGGAGGAAGCCACGGCUAACUACGUGCCAGCAGCCGCGGUAAUACGUAGGUGGCAAGCGUUGUCCGGAUUUACUGGGCGUAAAGGAUGCGUAGGCGGAUUUUUAAGUGAGAUGUGAAAACCCUAAGCUUAACUUGGGGACUGCAUUUCAUACUGGAAAUCUAGAGUGCGGGAGAGGAGAAUGGAAUUCCUAGUGUAGCGGUGAAAUGCGUAGAGAUUAGGAAGAACACCAGUGGCGAAGGCGAUUCUCUGGACCGUAACUGACGCUGAGGCAUGAAAGCGUGGGUAGCAAACAGGAUUAGAUACCCUGGUAGUCCACGCCGUAAACGAUGAGUACUAGGUGUAGGAGGUAUCGACCCCUUCUGUGCCGCAGUUAACACAAUAAGUACUCCGCCUGGGAAGUACGAUCGCAAGAUUAAAACUCAAAUGAAUUGACGGGGUC
rnacentral:rRNA from 1 species